rnacentral:rRNA from 1 species
UACGGAGGGUGCAAGCGUUAAUCGGAAUUACUGGGCGUAAAGCGUGCGCAGGCGGUUUGUUAAGUCUGCUGUGAAAUCCCCGAGCUCAACUUGGGAAUUGCAGUGGAUACUGGCAGGCUGGAGUAUGGUAGAGGAAGGUGGAAUUCCCGGUGUAGCAGUGAAAUGCGUAGAGAUCGGGAGGAACACCAGUGGCGAAGGCGGCCUUCUGGACCAGCACUGACACUGAGGCACGAAAGCGUGGGGAGCGAACAGG